rnacentral:rRNA from 1 species
GAUGAACGCUAGCUACAGGCUUAACACAUGCAAGUCGAGGGGAAACGAUAUUGGAAGCUUGCUUCCGAUAGGCGUCGACCGGCGCACGGGUGAGUAACGCGUAUCCAACCUGCCCAUCACUUGGGAAUAACCUUGCGAAAGUAAGACUAAUGCCCAAUGACAUUUAUAGAAGGCAUCUGAAAUGAAUUAAAGAUUUAUCGGUGAUGGAUGGGGAUGCGUCUGAUUAGCUUGUUGGCGGGGUAACGGCCCACCAAGGCAACGAUCAGUAGGGGUUCUGAGAGGAAGGUCCCCCACAUUGGAACUGAGACACGGUCCAAACUCCUACGGGAGGCAGCAGUGAGGAAUAUUGGUCAAUGGGCGAGAGCCUGAACCAGCCAAGUAGCGUGAGGGAAGACUGCCCUACGGGUUGUAAACCUCUUUUGUUUGGGAAUAAAGUGCGGGACGUGUCCCGCAUUGCAUGUACCAUUUGAAUAAGGACCGGCUAAUUCCGUGC